rnacentral:rRNA from 1 species
GUGAGGAAUAUUGCGCAAUGGAGGCAACUCUGACGCAGCCAUGCCGCGUGCAGGAAGAAGGCGCUACGCGUUGUAAACUGCUUUUAACCGGGAAGAAACCCCAGGACGUGUCCUGGGUUGACGGUACCGGAGGAAUAAGCACCGGCUAACUUCGUGCCAGCAGCCGCGGUAAUACGAAGGGUGCAAGCGUUAUCCGGAUUCAUUGGGUUUAAAGGGUGCGUAGGCGGAGCGUUAAGUCAGUGGUGAAAUCCUGCAGCUUAACUGUAGACUUGCCAUUGAUACUGGCGCUCUUGAGUGCGCUUGAAGUGGGCGGAAUGUGCCGUGUAGCGGUGAAAUGCUUAGAUAUGGCACAGAACACCAAUUGCGAAGGCAGCUCACUAAGGCGAUACUGCCGCUGAGGCACGAAAGCGUGGGGAUCGAACAGGAUUAGAAACCCUUGUAGUCC